rnacentral:rRNA from 1 species
UACGUAGGGGGCUAGCGUUGUCCGGAAUCAUUGGGCGUAAAGCGCGCGUAGGCGGCCCGGUAAGUCCGCUCUGAAAGUCCAGGGCUCAACCCUGGAAUGCGGGUGGAUACUGCCGGGCUAGAGUCCGGAAGAGGCGAGUGGAAUUCCAGGUGUAGCGGUGAAAUGCGUAGAGAUGUGGAGGAACACCAAUGGCGAAGGCAGCCUUCUGGGCCAACACUGACGCUCAUGCACGAAAGCGUGGGGAGCAAACAGG